rnacentral:rRNA from 1 species
CCUACGGAGAGCAGCAGUGGGGAAUAUUGGACAAUGGGCGAAAGCCUGAUCCAGCCAUGCCGCGUGUGUGAAGAAGGCCUUCGGGUUGUAAAGCACUUUCAGUGGGGAAGAAAGCCUUGGGGCUAAUACCCUCGAGGAAGGACAUCACCCACAGAAGAAGCACCGGCUAACUCCGUGCCAGCAGCCGCGGUAAUACGGAGGGUGCGAGCGUUAAUCGGAAUUACUGGGCGUAAAGCGCGCGUAGGCGGUCUGAUAAGCCGGUUGUGAAAGCCCCGGGCUCAACCUGGGAACGGCAUCCGGAACUGUCAGGCUAGAGUGCAGGAGAGGAAGGUAGAAUUCCCGGUGUAGCGGUGAAAUGCGUAGAGAUCGGGAGGAAUACCAGUGGCGAAGGCGGCCUUCUGGACUGACACUGACGCUGAGGUGCGAAAGCGUGGGUAGCAAACAGGAUUAGAUACCCGAGUAGUC